rnacentral:rRNA from 1 species
UCGGGAAUUUUGGGCAAUGGGGGAAACCCUGACCCAGCAACGCCGCGUGAGGGAUGAAGGCCUUCGGGUCGUAAACCUCUGUCAGGAGGGAAGAACGGUCGGUGUUCAAAUAGGGCAUCGAUUUGACGGUACCUCCAAAGGAAGGACCGGCUAACUCCGUGCCAGCAGCCGCGGUAAUACGGAGGGUCCAAGCGUUGUUCGGAAUCAUUGGGCGUAAAGCGGGUGUAGGUGGCUUGGAAAGUCGGAUGUGAAAGCCCAGGGCCCAACCCUGGAAUUGCAUUCGAAACUAUCAGGCUAGAGUCCCGGAGGGGAUGGCGGAAUUCCCGGUGUAGAGGUGAAAUUCGUAGAUAUCGGGAGGAACACCAGUGGCGAAGGCGGCCAUCUGGACGGUGACUGACACUCAGACCCGAAAGUGUGGGUAGCGAACAGGAUUAGAUACCCCCGUAGUCC